rnacentral:rRNA from 1 species
UACAGAGGGCUCAAGCGUUGUUCGGAUUUAUUGGGCGUAAAGGGUGCGUAGGUGGUGAUGCAAGUCUGGUGUGAAAUCUCGGAGCUCAACUCCGAAAUUGCACCGGAUACUGCGUGACUCGAGGACUGUAGAGGAGAUCGGAAUUCACGGUGUAGCAGUGAAAUGCGUAGAUAUCGUGAGGAAGACCAGUUGCGAAGGCGGAUCUCUGGGCAGUUCCUGACGCUGAGGCACGAAGGCCAGGGGAGCAAACGGG